rnacentral:rRNA from 1 species
UGGGGAAUAUUGCACAAUGGGCGCAAGCCUGAUGCAGCCAUGCCGCGUGUAUGAAGAAGGCCUUCGGGUUGUAAAGUACUUUCAGCGGGGAGGAAGGGAGUAAAGUUAAUACCUUUGCUCAUUGACGUUACCCGCAGAAGAAGCACCGGCUAACUCCGUGCCAGCAGCCGCGGUGAUACGGAGGGUGCAAGCGUUAAUCGGAAUUACUGGGCGUAAAGCGCACGCAGGCGGUUGAUUGAGUCAGAUGUGAAAUCCCCGGGCUUAACCCGGGAAUUGCAUCUGAUACUGGUCAGCUAGAGUCUUGUAGAGGGGGGUAGAAUUCCAUGUGUAGCGGUGAAAUGCGUAGAGAUGUGGAGGAAUACCGGUGGCGAAGGCGGCCCCCUGGACAAAGACUGACGCUCAGGUGCGAAAGCGUGGGGAGCAAACAGG